AUUGAACGCUGGCGGCAUGCCUUACACAUGCAAGUCGAACGGUAACGGGCCUUCGGGUGCCGACGAGUGGCGAACGGGUGAGUAAUGCAUCGGAACGUACCUUUCAGUGGUGGAUAACGUAGCGAAAGUUACGCUAAUACCGCAUAUUCUGUGAGCAGGAAAGCAGGGGAUCGCAAGACCUUGCGCUGAUUGAGCGGCCGAUGUCAGAUUAGCUAGUUGGUGAGGUAAAGGCUCACCAAGGCGACGAUCUGUAGCGGGUCUGAGAGGAUGAUCCGCCACACUGGAACUGAGACACGGUCCAGACUCCUACGGGAGGCAGCAGUGGGGAAUUUUGGACAAUGGGGGCAACCCUGAUCCAGCCAUGCCGCGUGAGUGAAGAAGGCCUUCGGGUUGUAAAGCUCUUUCGGCCGGGAAGAAAUCGUAUGGGUUAAUACCCUGUGCGGAUGACGGUACCGGCAUAAGAAGCACCGGCUAACUACGUGCCAGCCGCCGCAGUAACAC
rnacentral:rRNA from 1 species